CUGAAACCUCCUAACCCAUAAGCCAGAACAGUCUCUCCUCCUUUAGUUUUUUCCAGGUAUUUUAUCACAGCAAUGGAAAGCCAACUGCCACAGGCCAACUGUAUCCUGUCCUGGACUGGUCAGAUGUCAGAAUGGGAAUAUGUCUCGAUAGAAUAAUUCAAACAGAAUCAGAAAGGAGAUACUUUUCUCAUCGGUGAAACUGAUGGCACCCACGUCCAGCUCCCUCCAACAACCUGCCAGCAAGACUUAUUGGGUAAGCAAACACAUGCGCGAUGUCAGCACUAACAUCACACCUCCGAAAGUGGCUACCGUGGAGGAGAAGAGGAAAGAGCUCCUCGGGGUGGUCCCCCCUUACCUUAGCUUGACUGGAUCUUUUGCUGUAUUCUGUAAAACAAGAGUGAGUGUACUCGCACGUCAGCUAUGCAGCUGAAAUACUGUUUGGACGGAAUUUCCCUGGGUGGCAACGCUGCUAUGGGUCUGAUUGGGCUAAGACAGCAGAGCAGGUGCUUCUCACACCAUUCCAGCAGGUGCACAUGUUAAAGGUACACUGGUUUUCCAC
rnacentral:lncRNA from 1 species